CUGAGUACGACGGAGCACGUGAAAUUCCGUCGGAAUCUGGGAGGACCAUCUCCUAAGGCUAAAUACUCUCUAGUGACCGAUAGUGAACCAGUACCGUGAGGGAAAGGUGAAAAGUACCCCGGAAGGGGAGUGAAAGAGAACUUGAAACCGUGUGCUUACAAGUAGUCAGAGCCCGUUAAUGGGUGAUGGCGUGCCUUUUGUAGAAUGAACCGGCGAGUUACGAUCUGAUGCAAGGUUAAGCAGAAAAUGUGGAGCCGUAGCGAAAGCGAGUCUGAAUAGGGCGAAUGAGUAUUUGGUCGUAGACCCGAAACCAGGUGAUCUACCCUUGGUCAGGUUGAAGUUCAGGUAACACUGAAUGGAGGACCGAACCGACUUACGUUGAAAAGUGAGCGGAUGAACUGAGGGUAGCGGAGAAAUUCCAAUCGAACUUGGAGAUAGCUGGUUCUCUCCGAAAUAGCUUUAGGGCUAGCCUCAAGUGAUGAUUAUUGGAGGUAGAGCACUGUUUGGACGAGGGGCCCCUCUCGGGUUACCGAAUUCAGACAAACUCCGAAUGCCAAAUAAUUUAACUUGGGAGUCAGAAUGUGGGUGAUAAGGUCCAUAUUCGAAAGGGAAACAGCCCAGACCACCAGCUAAGGUCCCAAAAUAUAUGUUAAGUGGAAAAGGAUGUGGCGUUGCCCAGACAACUAGGAUGUUGGCUUAGAAGCAGCCAUCAUUUAAAGAGUGCGUAAUAGCUCACUAGUCGAGUGACACUGCGCCGAAAAUGUACCGGGGCUAAACAUAUUACCGAAGCUGUGGAUUGUCCUUUGGACAAUGGUAGGAGAGCGUUCUAAGGGCGUUGAAGCAUGAUCGCAAGGACAUGUGGAGCGCUUAGAAG
rnacentral:rRNA from 1 species